CAGAUCCCCCGGCGGCUUCUUCGAGUUCAUUCUGGUUACCCAGACGAGACAAAAGAGCCCCGAACACUAGGGAGCGGUUCCGCGUCGGGUUCCGGAAUACGAACCGGAUUCCCUCUCGCCCCAAGGGCGAUUCGAAAACGCCUUCGCCCGUGGUACGAGGAUCUCUCCCCGGGCUUAGGAUCGACUGACUCUUGGACAACGGCUGUUCACAAGAAACCCUUCUCCACGGCAGCCCCCGAGGGCCCCUCUCGAGUAUUUGCUACUACCACCAAGAUCUGCACCGACGGCGGCUCCAGGCGGUCUCGCGACCUGCCCUUCGACGCACACCGCCGCGCCAUCCUACUCGUCGAGGCUUGCCGGGACCGGCCGCCGCGAGCGACGACUGGCCCCACUAUGCCGUCGACGGCCGAGUAUAGGCACGACGCUCCAGCGCCAUCCAUUUUCAGAGCUAGUUGCUUCGGCAGGUGAGUUGUUACACACUCCUUAGCGGAUUCCGACUUCCAUGGCCACCGUCCUGCUGUCAUCAGCAACCAACGCCUUUCAUGGUCUCUGAAUACGCGUCGAUUUCGGCGCCUUAACUCGGCGUUCGGUUCAUCCCGCAGCGCCAGUUCUGCUUACCAAAAAUGGCCCACUAAGCGCCUAGGGUUCCGUCGCCGGCUUCGCACGCGGUUCACGCGGUGUACCAGGUAAAGCCGGCGAUCUCACUCAUUUAUAGUUUGAGAAUAGGUUGAGGUCGUUUCGGCCCCAAUGUCCUCUAAUCAUUCGCUUUACCGUAUGAGACAUCCUCCGUGUUACGAGCGUGUUGUUACCGCGCCGUACAGCGCGGAGUCCCACCGGCGUCCGUACGCCCGCGAACGGGCGGGACACAUCGGCGCCAGCUAUCCUGAGGGAAACUUCGGAUGGAACCAGCUACUAGAUGGUUCGAUUAGUCUUUCGCCCCUAUACCCAGCUCAGACGAUCGAUUUGCACGUCAGAAUCGCUGCGGACCUCCAUCAGGGUUUCCCCUGACUUCAUCCUGGCCAGGCAUAGUUCACCAUCUUUCGGGUACCAACGUGUGCGCUAAGGGUGCGCCCCCAGCCGGCCGAAGCCGACUUGGCGGAGACGCCCCCGGACUGCGGACCAGCGCGACUUUGAACGCCGGUGGGUUCGGUCGCUAGGCCAUCGUCCGCACCGUAAACGGUUCACUUUCAUUGCGCCAAACGUGGUUUUUCGUAAGAUCACCGUUGACUCGCGCACACGUUAGACUCCUUGGUCCGUGUUU